rnacentral:misc_RNA from 1 species
AAGGUGAUGCCACCUAACAAAAAGACUUCCAAAUCUCCAAGGAAAGUUAAGAGGGAGAAUGAAGACUUGGACAAAAUCAUGUUUGGCAAAUCACAUGAGUGGAAGAAUGAGCAGGAUAUGGCUGGGGGGGGGGGGGGUUUUAAUACUCUAAGUCUGAUUGGAAAGGUCAAGAUUUGGGGUUGAACCAGAUUGCAUUUGAUGAGUCGACCAUGCCUGCACCAGUAUGCUCUUGCACUGGAGUGUUUAGGCAGUGCUAUAAAUG